AGCAAAGCUCUUUCCACACUCAAAACACAUGUGAUCUCUCACUUCAUUAUGUGUUUUCUGGUGCUGUUUAUAACUGAGCAGCCAUGAAAAACUCUUUCCACAGUAAGAACACACAUGAGGCUUCUCUUCUGAAUGAACUAUCCGGUGUGCUUUUAGACUUGAUGAUGAAAUAAACUUUUUACCACACUGAUCACAGGUAAAAGGCUUUUCUCCAGAGUGGAUACGCAGAUGACAACUGAGACCCGAUACUGCAGUAAAACUCUUUCCACACUGAGGGCAUGUGUGAAGCGGUUUGUCUUUUUUUCUUGAAGUUUUGAUUUUACAAUGUUCCUCCUCCACUUCAUUCACCUCAUGUCUUUGCUGUUUUACUUCCAUCCAGACU